GUGGGGAAUAUUGGACAAUGGGGGGAACCCUGAUCCAGCCAUGCCGCGUGUGUGAAGAAGGCCUUUUGGUUGUAAAGCACUUUAAGCGAGGAGGAGGCUACCGAGAUUAAUACUCUUGGAUAGUGGACGUUACUCGCAGAAUAAGCACCGGCUAACUCUGUGCCAGCAGCCGCGGUAAUACAGAGGGUGCGAGCGUUAAUCGGAUUUACUGGGCGUAAAGCGUGCGUAGGCGGCUUUUUAAGUCGGAUGUGAAAUCCCCGAGGUUAACUUGGGAAUUGCAUUCGAUACUGGGAAGCUAGAGUAUGGGAGAGGAUGGUAGAAUUCCAGGUGUAGCGGUGAAAUGCGUAGAGAUCUGGAGGAAUACCGAUGGCGAAGGCAGCCAUCUGGCCUAAUACUGACGCUGAGGUACGAAAGCAUGGGGAGCAAACAGGAUUAGAUACCCCGGUAGUCC
rnacentral:rRNA from 1 species